GAAAGAGCGCAGGGUGGAUGCCUUGGCACUAAGAGCCGAUGAAAGACGUGAUAAGCUGCGAAAAGCUUCGGGGAGGAGCAAAUAUCCUUUGAUCCGGAGAUCUCUGAAUGGGGAAACCUACUUGAGUGCACCUCAAGUGACGUAUGGUGAAUACAUAGCCAUACGCCGGGAACCCGGUGAACUGAAACAUCUAAGUAGCCGGAGGAAGAGAAAGAAACAUCGAUUCCGAAAGUAGCGGCGAGCGAAAUUGGAAGAGCCCAAACCGGAAUGCGUGCAUUCCGGGGUUAUGGACCACGUUAUGUGACCCGUAUGGUAAUGGAACUGUCUGGGAAGUCAGACCAGAGAGGGUGAAAGUCCCGUACAUGAAACCAGAAGGGAGCUAGUGGGAUCCAGAGUACUGCGAGACACGUGGAACCUUGCAGGAAGUCGGGGGGACCACCCCCCAAGGCUAAAUACUCCUUAGUGACCGAUAGCGCAUAGUACUGUGAAGGAAAGGUGAAAAGGACCCCGGGAGGGGAGUGAAAGAGAACCUGAAACCCUGUGUUUACAAGCUGUGGAAGCACGUUAAGGUGCGACCGCGUACUUUUUGUAGAACGGUCCGGCGAGUUGCGGAUGCUGGCAAGGUUAAGCACUUUAGGUGCGGAGCCGAAGCGAGAGCAAGUCUGAAUAGGGCGUCAAGUCAGCAUGUGCAGACCCGAAACCGGGUGAUCUAUCCAUGUCCAGGUUGAAGCGAAAGUAAAAUUUCGUGGAGGACCGAACGCACAUCCGUUGAAAAGGGUGGCGAUGAGGUGUGGAUAGGGGAGAAAUUCCAAUCGAACCCGGAGAUAGCUGGUUCUCCUCGAAAUAGCUUUAGGGCUAGCCUCGUAUUAGUCUGGUGGAGGUAGAGCACUGAAUUUCCUAGGGGGCGUCAAAGCCUACCGAAGAAUAUCAAACUCCGAAUGCCAUACAGAUGAUGUACGGGAGUCAGACGGCACGAGAUAAGUUGGGUCGUCAAAAGGGAAAGAGCCCAGACCUGCAGCUAAGGUCCCAAAGUGUGUGUUAAGUGGAAAAGGAUGUGGGAUUUCAAAGACAACUAGGAUGUUGGCUCAGAAGCAGCCACACAUUCAAAGAGUGCGUAAUAGCUCACUAGUCGAGAGGUCCUGCGCCGAAAAUGUCCGGGGCUGAAACACAACACCGAAGCUCAGGAAUGUAUUUAUACAUUGGUAGAGGAGCAUUCUUAAAGGGGCGAAGCAGUACCGAUAAGGAGCUGUGGACUUUUAAGAAGAGAGAAUGCCGGAAUGAGUAGCGAGAUGGAGGUGGGAAUCCUCCAGGCCGAAUAUCUAAGGUUUCCAGGGUAAAGCUGAUCUGCCCUGGGUAAGUCGGGGCCUAAGGCAAGGCUGAGAAGCGUAGCUGAUGGACAACAGGUUUAGAUUCCUGUACCACAUGAUAUCAGAACUGUGGGGACGCAGAGGGAUAAGAUGACCGGGGAACAGAACCCCGGGCAAGCGCAGGAGGUGUCAGACAGGCAAAUCCGUCUGACAAGCCAAAGGCGUGACGCGGACCGAACUAAAGUAGGGAAGCAUCCGAUUCCAGCUGCCGAGAAAAGCCGCUAUUGUGUACCNNNNNNNNNNAUUCCCGGGCAAGCGUAGGAGGUGUCAGGCAGGCAAAUCCGCCUGACAAGCCAAAGACGUGACGCGGACCGAACCAAAGUAGGGAAGCAUCCGAUUCCAGCUGCCGAGAAAAGCCGCUAUUGUGUACCAUGUGCCCGUACCGUAAACCGACACAGGUGGAUGAGGAGAGAAUCCUAAGGCCGGCGGGAGAAGCAUUGUUAAGGAACUCGGCAAAAUGACCCCGUAACUUCGGGAUAAGGGGUGCCAGAGAGAUCUGGCCGCAGAGAAUAGGCUCAAGCAACUGUUUAGCAAAAACACAGGUCUAUGCGAAACCGUAAGGUGAUGUAUAUGGGCUGACGCCUGCCCGGUGCUGGAAGGUUAAGAGGAGAGGUUAGAGCAAUCGAAGCUUUGAAUUGAAGCCCCAGUAAACGGCGGCCGUAACUAUAACGGUCCUAAGGUAGCGAAAUUCCUUGUCGGGUAAGUUCCGACCCGCACGAAAGGCGUAAUGAUUUGAGCGCUGUCUCGACAAUGCACCCGGUGAAAUUGAAAUACCAGUGAAGAUGCUGGUUACCUGCGCCAGGACGGAAAGACCCCAUGGAGCUUUACUCCAGCUUGAUACUGGGAUUCGGUAAUGCAUGCACAGGAUAGGUGGGAGGCUACGAGUACGGAACUCCGGUUUCGUAUGAGCCGCUGUUGGGAUACCACCCUUGCGUUACUGGGUUUCUAACCAUGGCCCGUGAUCCGGGCCGGGGACAAUGUCAGGUGGGGAGUUUGACUGGGGCGGUCGCCUCCGAAAGGGUAUCGGAGGCGCUCAAAGGUUCCCUCAGAAUGGUUGGAAACCAUUCGAAGAGUGCAAAGGCAGAAGGGAGCUUGACUGCGAGACCGACGGGUCGAGCAGGUAGGAAACUAGGACUUAGUGAUCCGGUGGUAUGAAAGUGGGAUUGCCAUCGCUCAACGGAUAAAAGCUACCCUGGGGAUAACAGGCUUAUCACUCCCAAGAGUUCACAUCGACGGAGUGGUUUGGCACCUCGAUGUCGGCUCAUCGCAUCCUGGGGCUGAAGUAGGUCCCAAGGGUUGGGCUGUUCGCCCAUUAAAGCGGUACGCGAGCUGGGUUCAGAACGUCGUGAGACAGUUCGGUCCCUAUCCGGCGCAGGCGGAGGAUAUUUGAGAGGAGCUGUCCUUAGUACGAGAGGACCGGGAUGGACGGACCGCUGGUGUACCGGUUGAGCUGCUAAGCUCAUGGCCGGGUAGCCAAGUCUGGCAGGGAUAAACGCUGAAGGCAUCUAAGCGUGAAGCCCCCCUCAAGAUGAGAUAUCCCAUUCGAAAGAAGUAAGACCCCUUGAAGACGACGAGGUAGAUAGGGCAGAGGUGGAAGUGCAGUAAUGUACGGAGCUGACUGUUACUAAUCGGUCGAGGGCUUAUCCA
rnacentral:rRNA from 1 species